UAACGGCCGCCGCCGCCACCCUCAGGCCCGAGAGCCAGCCGCACAUCUGCUCGUUCGCCGCCAGAGUGCCCCACCUCUGUUCAUCCGCAACCAGAGUUCCCUGUCGGUCACCGCCACCCCCAGGGCCGAGAGCCCCGCCGCCCCUCCGCCCGAGUGCCCUUGAGCCCGCCGCCCAAGUGUUCUGUUGCCGUUUGUCCGCCGCAUGUCCGUCGUCCGCCGCCCAAGAGCCCGUCUCAAUCCUCAUAGAACUGCCGGUGCCAUUUUGUGGGAUUCAACAGCGCCAUAGCUGCUGUGGAGAUGGGAUAUGGGCUUUCAGAUGGUCCUCGUUAACUUUUGUAAGUAGUACAUCUUUUUUGGUGAAAUCUGUUAUCCAAGCUUCAUCAAAUUUUUUUUCCGUCCCAGCAUGAUUACUAACCUUUUUUUUUUCCUUUAGUUGACCCUAUCGAAAACUAACCUUCUGUAUGGUGUAUUGAGUUAAAUCUUCCUAUGAAUCAUCGAACGGUAAUUUAAUGAAUGAGAGAACUUAGGGGUACUGAUGCCACAUCAAGUGAAGUGGUUUCUUCAUCGUUCUGUCUGAUAUUCAUACACAUUUUUUAUGGCCAAAUGGAGAUAGCACUUUACUGGGAUUCCUUGAAGGAUGACCGAACAAAGGCUUACAGGAGGAUGGUUGAUGUCACUAGGAGAAUUGAUGAUUUCAGGCAGCAUCCACAGUUCAGCGUUCUUGCAAGUUCUCUUGUCUCAUGCCCACUUUCAGAAUGCCUAAAAUUCUCCAAGGCAAGAAGGCUAACAUAUGUAUGCAUGGUCCUUAGUCCGCUGCAGAUCUCGCAGGUCAAUGAACUAGUUUUAGUGUUGCGUUUUUCUGACCUGUUACAUUCCAGUUGUCUUGUUACGGUUACUGUAUAUUUGAACUACAAACUUGAGAGUUUAGCCUCGUCUCCGUAAGCAUGUAAUUUGUAUCAGUAAUUUGAUGGAUUUCUAUCUUGGAUUUAUCAAAUAUUUAACUAU